AUGAACGCUAGCGGGAGGCUUAACACAUGCAAGGUCGAGGGGCAGCACGGGUAGCAAUACCUGGUGGCGACCGGCGCAAGGGUGCGUAACGCGUGAGCAACAUGCCCUAUACAGGGGGAUAAUCCAGGGAAACUUGGUCUAAUAUCCCAUAGUAUUUAGAGGUGGCAUCACCACUAAAUUAAAGCUUCGGUGGUAUAGGAUUGGCUCGCGUGACAUUAGCUGGAUGGUGGGGUAACGGCUCACCAUGGCGAUGAUGUCUAGGGGUUCUGAGAGGAAGACCCCCCACACUGGGACUGAGACACGGCCCAGACUCCUACGGGAGGCAGCAGUGAGGAAUAUUGGACAAUGGAUGGAAAUCUGAUCCAGCCAUGCCGCGUGCAGGAAGACGGCCCUAUGGGUUGUAAACUGCUUUUAUAUGGGAGCAAUAAGGUUUACGCGUAGACCGAUGAGAGUACCAUAUGAAUAAGCAUCGGCUAACUCCGUG
rnacentral:rRNA from 1 species